rnacentral:rRNA from 1 species
GAUGAACGCUGGCGGCGUGCCUAAUACAUGCAAGUCGAGCGAACGGAUGAGAAGCUUGCUUCUCUGAUGUUAGCGGCGGACGGGUGAGUAACACGUGGAUAACCUACCUAUAAGACUGGGAUAACUUCGGGAAACCGGAGCUAAUACCGGAUAAUAUUUUGAACCGCAUGGUUCAAAAGUGAAAGACGGUUUUGCUGUCACUUAUAGAUGGAUCCGCGCUGCAUUAGCUAGUUGGUAAGGUAACGGCUUACCAAGGCAACGAUGCAUAGCCGACCUGAGAGGGUGAUCGGCCACACUGGAACUGAGACACGGUCCAGACUCCUACGGGAGGCAGCAGUAGGGAAUCUUCCGCAAUGGGCGAAAGCCUGACGGAGCAACGCCGCGUGAGUGAUGAAGGUCUUCGGAUCGUAAAACUCUGUUAUUAGGGAAGAACAUAUGUGUAAGUAACUAUGCACAUCUUGACGGUACCUAAUCAGAAAGCCACGGCUAACUACGUG